CACUGAGGCGUGACGACGAGGCACUACGGUGCUGAAGCAACAAAUGCCCUGCUUCCAGGAAAAGCCUCUAAGCAUCAGGUAACACGAAAUCGUACCCCAAACCGACACAGGUGGUCAGGUAGAGAAUACCAAGGCGCUUGAGAGAACUCGGGUGAAGGAACUAGGCAAAAUGGUGCCGUAACUUCGGGAGAAGGCACGCUGACACGUAGGUGAAGUGAUUUACUCAUGGAGCUGAAGUCAGUCGAAGAUACCAGCUGGCUGCAACUGUUUAUUAAAAACACAGCACUGUGCAAACACGAAAGUGGACGUAUACGGUGUGACGCCUGCCCGGUGCCGGAAGGUUAAUUGAUGGGGUCAGCGCAAGCGAAGCUCCUGAUCGAAGCCCCGGUAAACGGCGGCCGUAACUAUAACGGUCCUAAGGUAGCGAAAUUCCUUGUCGGGUAAGUUCCGACCUGCACGAAUGGCGUAAUGAUGGCCAGGCUGUCUCCACCCGAGACUCAGUGAAAUUGAACUCGCUGUGAAGAUGCAGUGUACCCGCGGCAAGACGGAAAGACCCCGUGAACCUUUACUAUAGCUUGACACUGAACAUUGAGCCUUGAUGUGUAGGAUAGGUGGGAGGCUUUGAAGUGUGGACGCCAGUCUGCAUGGAGCCGACCUUGAAAUACCACCCUUUAAUGUUUGAUGUUCUAACGUGGACCCGUAAUCCGGGUUGCGGACAGUGUCUGGUGGGUAGUUUGACUGGGGCGGUCUCCUCCUAAAGAGUAACGGAGGAGCACGAAGGUUGGCUAAUCCUGGUCGGACAUCAGGAGGUUAGUGCAAUGGCAUAAGCCAGCUUGACUGCGAGCGUGACGGCGCGAGCAGGUGCGAAAGCAGGUCAUAGUGAUCCGGUGGUUCUGAAUGGAAGGGCCAUCGCUCAACGGAUAAAAGGUACUCCGGGGAUAACAGGCUGAUACCGCCCAAGAGUUCAUAUCGACGGCGGUGUUUGGCACCUCGAUGUCGGCUCAUCACAUCCUGGGGCUGAAGUAGGUCCCAAGGGUAUGGCUGUUCGCCAUUUAAAGUGGUACGCGAGCUGGGUUUAGAACGUCGUGAGACAGUUCGGUCCCUAUCUGCCGUGGGCGCUGGAGAACUGAGGGGGGCUGCUCCUAGUACGAGAGGACCGGAGUGGACGCAUCACUGGUGUUCGGGUUGUCAUGCCAAUGGCACUGCCCGGUAGCUAAAUGCGGAAGAGAUAAGUGCUGAAAGCAUCUAAGCACGAAACUUGCCCCGAGAUGAGUUCUCCCUGAGACUUAGAGUCUCCUGAAGGAACGUUGAAGACGACGACGUUGAUAGGCCGGGUGUGUAAGCGCAGCGAUGCGUUGAGCUAACCGGUACUAAUGAACCGUGAGGCUUAACCUUACA
rnacentral:rRNA from 1 species